CUCUCCUACAAAGGUGUGUCUAUGGUUCCCUGUCUUUGGACAUAAGAAUUGGAGGUAAAGAAAUGUGGACUUGGACAAGUCUGGGGCCAGCUUGCUCCCUGCAGGCUCAAGACCAACCAUCUCGCAUAG